GGGUGAUAACUGAUUUAUAGAAAAGGGAGAAAUUUAAAAUAGAGAGGAGCCGCACGAUUGUGAGAAAAACCAGUUCUAGAAACGGCUUUAGAUCGGAAAUCAUCUGAGGCAUUGAAGAAGGGAAAAGCAUUGGAGAAGUAGCUGGUCUGACUUUAGUUCUUCGGUGGAGCAAGUGUACCAUCGACUUCGACUCGCCCUCAGCUCUAGCCAGUCUCCAGUACAUCAGAUUUCAGGGUGAGCUAUUCCUUCGAGCUCGUGCUGGAUUCUCUCAGUUAUGGCAUGAUGUCUUUGAAUUUCAGACAUGGACCAUCGUAUUUACUUAUUUUGGGGUCUCUAAUACUUUUAGACUUGAUAUGUUAAGAACAGAUGUCCUUGAUGUGAUGACUUUCAGAUUUUGGGGAUAAUAUGUAAUAGACUUUAGAGGUUUAUUUGAUUGGUUACUUUAAUAAGUUUGGAGCUUCCGCGUUAUUGUUGUUAGUGGUAGUUAAAUUAUUG